UACGGGGGGGGCAAGCGUUGUUCGGAAUUACUGGGCGUAAAGGGCUCGUAGGUGGCCAACUAAGUCAGACGUGAAAUCCCUCGGCUUAACCGGGGAACUGCGUCUGAUACGUGGAUGGCUUGGAGUUCGGGAGAGGGAGAGCGGAAUUCCGAGGUGUAGCGGUGAAAUGCGUAGAUAUCUGGAGGAACACCGGUGGCGAAGGCGGCAUCCUGGACCGAUACUGACGCUGAGGAGCGAAAGCCAGGGGAGCAAACGGGAUAGAAACC
rnacentral:rRNA from 1 species